GUUUUAUUAAGAUAAUAGUCUGUUAGCUUUCAAAGUUAAAUGUGAAUCUUAUAUGAAUUUACAGUUCA
rnacentral:tRNA from 1 species